UACGGGGGGGGUAAACGUUGUUCGGAAUUACUGGGCGUAAAGGGCUCGUAGGCGGCCAACUAAGUCAUACGUGAAAUCCCUCAGCUUAACUGGGGAACUGCGUGUGAUACUGGAUGGCUUGGAUUUGGGAGAGGGAUGCGGAAUUCCAGGUGUAGCGGUGUAAUGCGUAGAUAUCUGGAGGAACACCGGUGGCGAAGGCGGCAUCCUGGACCAAUAUUGACGCUGAGGAGCGAAAGCCAGGGGAGCAAACGGG
rnacentral:rRNA from 1 species